rnacentral:rRNA from 1 species
AUCAACUUUCGAUGGUAGGAUAGAGGCCUACCAUGGUGGUAACGGGUAACGGGGUGUUAGGGCACGACACCGGAGAGGGAGCCUGAGAAACGGCUACCACAUCCAAGGAUGGCAGCAGGCGCGCAAAUUACCCAAUCCCGACACGGGGAGGUAGUGACAAUAAAUAACAAUACGGGGUUCUUUCGGAUCUCGUAAUUGGAAUGAGUACAAUUUAAAUCUCUUAACGAGGAACAAUUGGAGGGCAAGUCUGGUGCCAGCAGCCGCGGUAAUUCCAGCUCCAAUAGCGUAUAUUAAAGUUGUUGCAGUUAAAAAGCUCGUAGUUGAAUUUCGGGAUCAGUUGGUCGGUCGUGCCUCGGUACGUACUGGUCAAAUUGAUUCCUACCUUCUGACGAACCACGAUGUCAUUAAUUUGGUGUCGCGGGAAAUCAGGACUGUUACUUCGAAAAAAUUAGAGUGUUUAAAGCAGGCUCGCGCUUGAAUACAUUAGCAUGGAAUAAUGAAAUAGGACGUUUGAUUCUAUUUUGUUGGUUUCUAGGAUCGACGUAAUGAUUAAUAGGGAUAGUUGGGGGCAUUAGUAUUCAAUUGUCAGAGGUGAAAUUCUUGGAUUUAUUGAAGACUAACUACUGCGAAAGCAUUUGCCAAGGAUGUUUUCAUUAAUCAAGAACGAAAGUUAGGGGAUCGAAGACGAUCAGAUACCGUCGUAGUCUUAACCAUAAACUAUGCCGACUAGGGAUCGGAUGAUGUUAACUUUUUAAUGACUCAUUCGGCGCCUUACGGGAAACCAAAGUGUUUGGGUUC